AUUGAACGCUGGCGGCAGGCCUAACACAUGCAAGUCGAACGAGUGGCGGACGGGUGAGUAAUGUCUGGGAAACUGCCUGAUGGAGGGGGAUAACUACUGGAAACGGUAGCUAAUACCGCAUAACAUCAGUUGUGCCCAGAUGGGAUUAGCUUGUUGGUGGGGUAACGGCUCACCAAGGCGACGAUCCCUAGCUGGUCUGAGAGGUGGACCAUCCCCACUGGAACUGAGACACGGUCCAGACUCCUCCAUGAACCACCAAUUUUAAAUAUUGCACAAUUGGCGCAAGCCUGAUACAGCCAUGCCGCGUGUAUGAGGAAUUCCUUCGGGUUUUAAAGUACUUUCAGCGGGGAGGCGUUACCCGCAGAAGAAGCACCGGCUAACUCCGUGCCAGCAGCCGCGGUAAUAC
rnacentral:rRNA from 1 species